AUCCUGAUACACUUUCAGGCCUAUCUGGGAUUGGUGAUUUAAUUCUUACGACUUUUGGUGGCCUGUCGAGGAAUAAAGCGGUGGGACUUCGGCUAGGGAAAGGCGAAAAACUCCAGGAUAUUCUUGAUAGUUUGGCUCAAGUGGCUGAAGGGGUCCCAACAGCCGCGGUGGUGGUCAAGCUAGCUGACAAAUACGGACUUGAGCUUCCGAUAUUCCGGACAGUCCAUGCUUUUCUUAAGGGAGAAGUGACUGCUGAGGAAAGUUUGGUGAAUAUUAUGAAUAAACCGCCUAAAGGAGAGUUUGAUUGAAGAAACCACAAAAUACUUUUUUCGUCAGAAGUAGAGACAGCAAAGCUUCAGAGGCAUCGGCUACUUUUUUAACGUUGCUUUCUGUAUAUGGCCGGAUAUACCCAAUCAGCU